UGCUUACUUGAGGUGAAUGAUCAAAGGCUUCCUAUCAGUGGAGAUGCUCUACAGAUGUUUGACGAAAUGCCCAAAUGAAACAACCCAAAAGUUGUUAUUAGAACAACCCAUUGAGCAACUCAAUUCAUGUAUAUCUGUACUGUUUGCUGUAGGAUGGUGGAUAGCUUUCCAAGUAAGAAGUUGACAGCACCAUCUGCCAUUUUUGGUAUCAAAUUCCUCCCUCCUCACCCUUUUAUUUUUAUUUUUAUUUUUAUUUUUUCUGUUUCUUUCUCUCUUUGAGGAAGGUGGAAGAGACAAAGCAGUUAAUGUUUGUUCAACAAUUUGAAAAAGCUAGAGAAGACUUAGAAGACUUUGAUUUUCAUUUCAUUUUACCGAGAAAAAGCUAGAGAAGACUUUUUCGUUUCA